GAUUGCCAGCGCCCGCAAUUUUAUAACUGGGAUGGCAAUAGUACCUAUAGCAUUGAAUGUGCCUGGGCUGGCUGGAGGAAUUUGUCUUGGCAAAAUCCCGUUUUCCUGUGCCACGCUGCACUAAGUAGUCGCAGCUUGUAAUUAUACCUCGAGGAAUCCUCGAACCCGGUUCUCUUAUGUGCUGCUCUUCGUACACCAGUGACAUUUACAUCAGCGCUACCACAUCACUUAAAAGUAGGAAUAACAGUAUGAACCACCUGGGUACGAAACCUAGUUGUUUUUAAUGAGACAGUGUACAGUGCCAGCAAUUUGCCAACCAGCAAACCACCUCAGCAUAAACACCGGGGAGCCCCCGCUGAGUCCUGGAAAUCCCGCUUGUCUGCAAGUGCACAAUAUAC
rnacentral:lncRNA from 12 species